rnacentral:rRNA from 1 species
GAGUUUGAUCCUGGCUCAGAUUGAACGCUGGCGGCAGGCCUAACACAUGCAAGUCGAGCGGAUGAAGGGAGCUUGCUCCUGGAUUCAGCGGUGGACGGGUGAGUAAUGCCUAGGAAUCUGCCUGGUAGUGGGGAUAACGUCCGGAAACGGGCGCUAAUACCGCAUACGUCCUGAGGGAGAAAGUGGGGGAUCUUCGGACCUCACGCUAUCAGAUGAGCCUAGGUCGGAUUAGCUAGUUGGUGGGGUAAAGGCCUACCAAGGCGACGAUCCGUAACUAGGUCUGAGAGGAUGAUCAGUCACGCUGGAACUGAGACACGGUCCAGACUCCUACGGGAGGCAGCAGUGGGGAAUAUUGGAC